GACUCUUCCUCCUUCUCCCUUCAAGAUCAGCGACGGUGACCAUUGUUCAGAGCCUACAUAAAGCCUUUCAACAAUACAACAUACUACAGUCAUUUUAAAAGAAAUCGUGGAGCAUAGGACAGAAAAGAACCUUGAAGUCCAGAUGAGAAAGCGAGGAGCAGAAAGCCACCAGCAAAUGGCCAGCAGGGCUCUCCCUGAAGGGUGAGGCAAAGGACCUCUUCUGCAGAAGCCAGGUCCUACACUGUUUGAGGGCUUACACACUGUCCUCAGAGGGAUAGUAUCUUAGGAACACAAAGCAAAUGCUAGCAAUCACCCCUGAUGCAUGUCUUCUAACAUGGCAAACAGCAAAGAUUCAACUGCAGCAGGCCAAUAACUUGUAUGGUCAGGGAACAGCCAGUCUUCCAGCCUGAUCAGAAGUGAUCCUGAGAAAACCAGUGGGUCACAUGAGCCAUUCAGCACCAGACCAGGCAUAAUAAUGUGUUGGGUAUGCAAUCAACCACGGCAGAAGAAGGAUCAAACCCACGUCAGCUUCUGAGACCACUCCCACUGCCAGGCAGCAGCUUGCACAGCCCAGAGGAAAGGAGGCAUGCAGCCUUGGGACCAAGAAAUAUUACUGUGGGUUUGGGUUGCUGACUACCAGCUCACAGAUUUUUUAUACAGACUGAGAACAGAACACAAACUACUGCAAGAGAACUUUUCUCUGGAAAUAAUAAAACAGGAGAAUCCAUGAUUGAAGCUCCCUACGGUGUUCCCUUUAGCAAACUUAACUCCAGAUGCCUGGG
rnacentral:lncRNA from 1 species